rnacentral:lncRNA from 1 species
CAUAGAGAAAUGGACACCCGUAGGGACAAGGACACCCAUAGGGGAGGUGACACCCAUAGGGGAGGGGAGGUGACACCCAUAGUGGAGAUGACACCCAUAGGGGAGGUGACACCCAUAGGGGAGGGGAGGUGACACCCAUAGGGGAGGGGAGGUGACACCCAUAGGGGAGGGGAGGUGACACCCAUAGGGAUGGUGACACCCAUAGGGGAGGGGAGGUGACACCCAUAGGGGAGAGGUGACACCCAUAGUGGAGAUGACACCCAUAGGGGAGGUGACACCCAUAGGGGAGGGGAGGUGACACCCAUAGGGAUGGGGACACCCAUAGAUGAGGGGAGGUGACACCCAUAGGGGAGAAGUGACACAGAAGCGACACCCAUAGAGAAACGGACACCCGUAGGGACGAGGACGCCCAUAGGCGAGGUGCCACCCGAUGUCCCCCCCCCGACGUCCCCCCCCCCGUCACCUUGGUGGCCCCGAAGAGCCGCGGGUUGUUGUUGGUGGCCCUGAGUGCCGCCAGCGCGUGGU